rnacentral:rRNA from 1 species
UACGUAGGGGGCAAGCGUUAUCCGGAUUUACUGGGUGUAAAGGGAGCGUAGACGGCAGGGCAAGUCUGAUGUGAAAGGUCGGGGCCCAACCCCGGGACUGCAUUGGAAACUGUCCGGCUGGAGUACAGGAGAGGUAAGUGGAAUUCCUAGUGUAGCGGUGAGAUGCGUAGAUAUUAGGAGGAACACCAGUGGCGAAGGCGGCUUACUGGACUGUAACUGACGUUGAGGCUCGAAAGCGUGGGGAGCAAACAGG